rnacentral:rRNA from 1 species
AUUGAACGCUGGCGGCAGGCCUAACACAUGCAAGUCGAGCGGAUGAAGGGAGCUUGCUCCUGGAUUCAGCGGCGGACGGGUGAGUAAUGCCUAGGAAUCUGCCUGGUAGUGGGGGAUAACGUCCGGAAACGGGCGCUAAUACCGCAUACGUCCUGAGGGAGAAAGUGGGGGAUCUUCGGACCUCACGCUAUCAGAUGAGCCUAGGUCGGAUUAGCUAGUUGGUGGGGUAAAGGCCUACCAAGGCGACGAUCCGUAACUGGUCUGAGAGGAUGAUCAGUCACACUGGAACUGAGACACGGUCCAGACUCCUACGGGAGGCAGCAGUGGGGAAUAUUGGACAAUGGGCGAGAGCCUGAUCCAGCCAUGCCGCGUGUGUGAAGAAGGUCUUCGGAUUGUAAAGCACUUUAAGUUGGAGGAAGGGCAGUAAGUUAAUACCUUGCUGUUUUGACGUUACCAACAGAAUAAGCACCGGCUAACUUCGUG